AUUGAACGCUGGCGGCAGGCCUAACACAUGCAAGUCGAGCGAGCGGCGGACGGGUGAGUAAUGUCUGGGAAACUGCCUGAUGGCGGGGGAGAACUACUGGAACCGGUAGCUAAUACCGCAUACCAUCAGAUGUGCCCAGAUGGGUUUAGCUAGUAGGUGGGGUAACGGCUCCCCUAGGCGACGAUCCCUAGCUGGUCUGAGAGGAUGACAAGCGCCACUGGAACUGAGACAAGGUCCAGAGUCCUGCGUGAGGGAGCAGGGGGGAAUAUUGCACAAUGGGCGCAAGCCGGAUGCAGCCAUGCCGCUUGUGUGAAGAAGGCCUUCGGGUUGUAAAGCACUUUCAGCGGGGAGGCGUUACCCGCAGAAGAAGCACCGGCUAACUCCGUGCCAGCAGCCGCGGUAAUAC
rnacentral:rRNA from 1 species